UACGUAGGGUCCGAGCGUUGUCCGGAAUUACUGGGCGUAAAGAGCUCGUAGGCGGUUUGUCGCGUCUGCCGUGAAAGUCCGGGGCUCAACUCCGGAUCUGCGGUGGGUACGGGCAGACUAGAGUGAUGUAGGGGAGACUGGAAUUCCUGGUGUAGCGGUGAAAUGCGCAGAUAUCAGGAGGAACACCGAUGGCGAAGGCAGGUCUCUGGGCAUUAACUGACGCUGAGGAGCGAAAGCAUGGGGAGCGAACAGG
rnacentral:rRNA from 1 species